AGUGGGGAUAGCUGGUCAAAUGGUUUCAUUCCAAGUUUUCUGAGGAAUCUCCAUACUGCUUUCCAGAGUGGUUGUACCAAUCUGCAGUCCCACCAGCAAU
rnacentral:pre_miRNA from 1 species